rnacentral:rRNA from 2 species
UACGUAUGGAGCAAGCGUUAUCCGGAUUUACUGGGUGUAAAGGGUGCGUAGGCGGCACAGCAAGUCAGAUGUGAAAGACCGGGGCUCAACCCCGGGGCUGCAUUUGAAACUGCCGAGCUUGAGUCCGGGAGAGGCAGGCGGAAUUCCUAGUGUAGCGGUGAAAUGCGUAGAUAUUAGGAGGAACACCAGUGGCGAAGGCGGCCUGCUGGACCGGAACUGACGCUGAGGCACGAAAGCGUGGGGAGCAAACAGG